AAAAGUUCAAAUUGUUCACCUUGGUGUGAGGCCUUUUACAACCUGGCUCAGAUCUGCCUUUUUAGUCUCAGAUUGCAGCGUCUUAUGGAAAUGUUAUCUCCAUUUUUGAACCAGUUAACCUACCAAAACAAAAGAAAAAUUUGGUCAGUAAUUUAUGAUUUCUUCUUUUAGGAAUUGAAAUGUUUUAAGUAUUGAAAGAGUGUAAAAUCAGAGUGAUCAUUGAGUAAAUCGGUAUUACUUAUAUACUGUAAUUGAACCUACAUGUUAAAUUCCAUUUUGAUGUUAAAAAUAUAUUUAAAUUUUUCAUUGGAAUAGAACUAAAAUAAAUUGUGCCAAUGAAUUGUUGA
rnacentral:lncRNA from 1 species